GGGAUGACUCUCGGCAAUGGAUAUCUCAGCUCAUGCAUCGACGAAGAACAUAGCGAAAUGCGAUACAUGGUGUGAAUUGCAGAAUCCCGCGAACCAUUGAGUCUUUGAACGCAAGUUGCACCCGAGGCCAUUCGGUCGAGGGCACGCCUGCCUAGGCAUCAUGC
rnacentral:rRNA from 1 species